rnacentral:rRNA from 1 species
UGGGGAAUCUUGGACAAUGGGCGCAAGCCUGAUCCAGCCAUGCCGCGUGAGUGAUGAAGGCCCUAGGGUUGUAAAACUCUUUCGUGGGGGACGAUAAUGACGGUACCCCAAGAAGAAGCUCCGGCUAACUUCGUGCCAGCAGCCGCGGUAAUACGAAGGGGGCUAGCGUUGUUCGGAUUUACUGGGCGUAAAGCGCGUGUAGGCGGGCUGGAAAGUUGGGGGUGAAAUCCCGAGGCUCAACCUCGGAACUGCCUCCAAAACUUCCAGCCUGGACUCAAGUAGAGGCAAGUGGAAUUGCGAGUGUAGAGGUGAAAUUCGUAGAUAUUCGCAGGAACACCAGUGGCGAAGGCGACUUGCUGGACUUGUAGUGACGCUGAGACGCGAAAGCGUGGGGAGCAAACAG